rnacentral:rRNA from 1 species
CUCAGAUUGAACGCUGGCGGCAGGCCUAACACAUGCAAGUCGAACGGUAACAUUUCUAGCUUGCUAGAAGAUGACGAGUGGCGGACGGGUGAGUAAUACUUAGGAAUAUGCCUUUGUGUGGGGGAUAACCAUUGGAAACGAUGGCUAAUACCGCAUAACGUCUUCGGACCAAAGGGGGCUUCGGCUCCCGCGCAAAGAGUAGCCUAAGCGAGAUUAGCUUGUUGGUGAGGUAAAGGCUCACCAAGGCGACGAUCUCUAGCUGUUCUGAGAGGAAGAUCAGCCACACUGGAACUGAGACACGGUCCAGACUCCUACGGGAGGCAGCAGUGGGGAAUAUUGCACAAUGGGGGAAACCCUGAUGCAGCCAUGCCGCGUGUGUGAAGAAGGCCUUCGGGUUGUAAAGCACUUUCAGUCAGGAGGAAAGGGUGUGAGUUAAUACCUCACAUCUGUGACGUUACUGACAGAAGAAGCACCGGCUAACUCCGUGCCAGCAGCCGCGGUAAUACGGAGGGUGCGAGCGUUAAUCGGAAUUACUGGGCGUAAAGCGCACGCAGGCGGUUUGUUAAGCUAGAUGUGAAAGCCCCGGGCUCAACCUGGGACGGUCAUUUAGAACUGGCAGACUAGAGUCUUGGAGAGGGGAGUGGAAUUCCAGGUGUAGCGGUGAAAUGCGUAGAUAUCUGGAGGAACAUCAGUGGCGAAGGCGACUCCCUGGCCAAAGACUGACGCUCAUGUGCGAAAGUGUGGGUAGCGAACAGGAUUAGAUACCCUGGUAGUCCACACCGUAAACGCUGUCUACUAGCUGUUUGUGGAUUUAAUCCGUGAGUAGCGAAGCUAACGCGAUAAGUAGACCGCCUGGGGAGUACGGCCGCAAGGUUAAAACUCAAAUGAAUUGACG